UUCUGGUUAGCUCAAUUAAGAGCACUCCACUGGAAACGGAGAGGUCCCUGGUUCGGUUCCAGGACCACAAU
rnacentral:tRNA from 1 species